AGGGGCAUAGUUCAGUGGUAGAAUAGCGGUCUCCAAAACCGUUGACGUCAGUUCGAAUCUGGCUGCCCCUG
rnacentral:tRNA from 1 species